rnacentral:rRNA from 1 species
UACGUAGGGGGCAAGUGUUGUCCGGAUUUACUGGGCGUAAAGAGCGCGCAGGCGGUCGUUCAAGUCGCGUGUGAAAGCCCCCGGCUCAACUGGGGAGGGUCACGCGAUACUGAUCGACUCGAAGGCAGGAGAGGGUAGUGGAAUUCCCGGUGUAGUGGUGAAAUGCGUAGAUAUCGGGAGGAACACCAGUGGCGAAGGCGACUACCUGGCCUGUUUCUUGACGCUGAGGCGCGAAAGCUAGGGGAGCAAACGGG